ACCAUGCAGUCGAGCGGUAGCACAGAGAGCUUGCUCUCGGGUGACGAGCGGCGGACGGGUGAGUAAUGUCUGGGAAACUGCCUGAUGGAGGGGGAUAACUACUGGAAACGGUAGCUAAUACCGCAUAACGUCGCAAGACCAAAGUGGGGGACCUUCGGGCCUCAUGCCAUCAGAUGUGCCCAGAUGGGAUUAGCUAGUAGGUGGGGUAAUGGCUCACCUAGGCGACGAUCCCUAGCUGGUCUGAGAGGAUGACCAGCCACACUGGAACUGAGACACGGUCCAGACUCCUACGGGAGGCAGCAGUGGGGAAUAUUGCACAAUGGGCGCAAGCCUGAUGCAGCCAUGCCGCGUGUAUGAAGAAGGCCUUCGGGUUGUAAAGUACUUUCAGCGAGGAGGAAGGCGUUAAGGUUAAUAACCUUGGCGAUUGACGUUACUCGCAGAAGAAGCACCGGCUAACUCCGUGCCAGCAGCCGCGGUAAUACGGAGGGUGCAAGCGUUAAUCGGAAUUACUGGGCGUAAAGCGCACGCAGGCGGUCUGUCAAGUCGGAUGUGAAAUCCCCGGGCUCAACCUGGGAACUGCAUUCGAAACUGGCAGGCUAGAGUCUUGUAGAGGGGGGUAGAAUUCCAGGUGUAGCGGUGAAAUGCGUAGAGAUCUGGAGGAAUACCGGUGGCGAAGGCGGCCCCCUGGACAAAGACUGACGCUCAGGUGCGAAAGCGUGGGGAGCAAACAGGAUUAGAUACCCUGGUAGUCCACGCCGUAAACGAUGUCGACUUGGAGGUUGUGCCCUUGAGGCGUGGCUUCCGGAGCUAACGCGUUAAGUCGACCGCCUGGGGAGUACGGCCGCAAGGUUAAAACUCAAAUGAAUUGACGGGGGCCCGCACAAGCGGUGGAGCAUGUGGUUUAAUUCGAUGCAACGCGAAGAACCUUACCUACUCUUGACAUCCAGAGAACUUAGCAGAGAUGCUUUGGUGCCUUCGGGAACUCUGAGACAGGUGCUGCAUGGCUGUCGUCAGCUCGUGUUGUGAAAUGUUGGGUUAAGUCCCGCAACGAGCGCAACCCUUAUCCUUUGUUGCCAGCGGUCCGGCCGGGAACUCAAAGGAGACUGCCAGUGAUAAACUGGAGGAAGGUGGGGAUGACGUCAAGUCAUCAUGGCCCUUACGAGUAGGGCUACACACGUGCUACAAUGGCAUAUACAAAGAGAAGCGACCUCGCGAGAGCAAGCGGACCUCAUAAAGUAUGUCGUAGUCCGGAUUGGAGUCUGCAACUCGACUCCAUGAAGUCGGAAUCGCUAGUAAUCGUAGAUCAGAAUGCUACGGUGAAUACGUUCCCGGGCCUUGUACACACCGCCCGUCACACCAUGGGAGUGGGUUGCAAAAGAAGUAGGUAGCUUAACCUUCGGGAGGGCGCUACC
rnacentral:rRNA from 1 species